GAUGAACGCUAGCUACAGGCUUAACACAUGCAAGUCGAGGGGCAGCAUGAACUUAGCUUGCUAAGUUUGAUGGCGUCCGGCGCACGGGUGAGUAACACGUAUCCAACCUGCCGAUGACUCGGGGAUAGCCUUUCGAAAGAAAGAUUAAUACCCGAUGGCAUAGUUCUUCCGCAUGGUAGAACUAUUAAAGAAUUUCGGUCAUCGAUGGGGAUGCGUUCCAUUAGGUUGUUGGCGGGGUAACGGCCCACCAAGCCUUCGAUGGAUAGGGGUUCUGAGAGGAAGGUCCCCCACAUUGGAACUGAGACACGGUCCAAACUCCUACGGGAGGCAGCAGUGAGGAAUAUUGGUCAAUGGACGAGAGUCUGAACCAGCCAAGUAGCGUGAAGGAUGACUGCCCUAUGGGUUGUAAACUUCUUUUAUACGGGAAUAAAGUGAGGCACGUGUGCCUUUUUGUAUGUACCGUAUGAAUAAGGAUCGGCUAACUCCGUGCCAGCAGCCGCGGUAAUACGGAGGAUCCGAGCGUUAUCCGGAUUUAUUGGGUUUAAAGGGAGCGUAGGCGGACGCUUAAGUCAGUUGUGAAAGUUUGCGGCUCAACCGUAAAAUUGCAGUUGAUACUGGGUGUCUUGAGUACAGUAGAGGCAGGCGGAAUUCGUGGUGUAGCGGUGAAAUGCUUAGAUAUCACGAAGAACUUCGAUUGCGAAGGCAGCCUGCUGGACUGUAACUGACGCUGAUGCUCGAAAGUGUGGGUAUCGAACAGGAUUAGAUACCCUGGUAGUCCACACAGUAAACGAUGAAUACUCGCUGUUUGCGAUAUACAGUAAGCGGCCAAGCGAAAGCGUUAAGUAUUCCACCUGGGGAGUACGCCGGCAACGGUGAAACUCAAAGGAAUUGACGGGGGCCCGCACAAGCGGAGGAACAUGUGGUUUAAUUCGAUGAUACGCGAGGAACCUUACCCGGGCUUGAAUUGCAACUGAAUGAUGUGGAGACAUGUCAGCCGCAAGGCAGUUGUGAAGGUGCUGCAUGGUUGUCGUCAGCUCGUGCCGUGAGGUGUCGGCUUAAGUGCCAUAACGAGCGCAACCCUUAUCGAUAGUUACCAUCAGGUGAUGCUGGGGACUCUGUCGAGACUGCCGUCGUAAGAUGUGAGGAAGGUGGGGAUGACGUCAAAUCAGCACGGCCCUUACGUCCGGGGCUACACACGUGUUACAAUGGGGGGUACAGAAGGCAGCUACACGGCGACGUGAUGCUAAUCCCGAAAGCCUCUCUCAGUUCGGAUUGGAGUCUGCAGCCCGACUCCAUGAAGCUGGAUUCGCUAGUAAUCGCGCAUCAGCCACGGCGCGGUGAAUACGUUCCCGGGCCUUGUACACACCGCCCGUCAAGCCAUGAAAGCCGGGGGUACCUGAAGUGCGUAACCGCAAGGAGCGCCCUAGGGUAAAACUGGUGAUUGGGGCU
rnacentral:rRNA from 1 species